GCGGAUUUUUUCUUGAUAAAAGAAGUAAAAAAUGAUGACUGAUAAGUUGAGUUCUAACAUUUCUGUCACUCUCCCGCUGGAACAGGAAAUUCCAUCCCAGGGUUUGCAGGGAUCGGAUCCUGUCCAGCUUUGCGGUUGAUUCCGCCAAUUCUUCAUCAGUGCUUGAAGUGCGGCAACUGUACGUUUACCAAGCGAACAUUAGAGAGGCAUUUAAUACCAACAACUCCAGUAAUUCAAUCUCACUCCUAUCAUGGAUCAUAUUAGACACUAAUCUUAAUCGUAUGAGAGUAGAUGCAAGUAUCAUCAUAGAGCAUGCAGGAUAAGUAUUAAUCCAAGAAAGGAGGCCUUCUUUGAAUUCUCAGUUGUACUGGCGGGAAUGAAACAUUAUUUCAGUUUAACCUUUUGUCGUGGGACCUAUUUCUCCAUACAUUAGCACAAAUUCUAAAUUUGUUUGAUUUGAUCUGCUGUGUACCUGAUCCAUUAUAGUUCUAUUUGUGCUACCUAGUGCCACAAAUUGAAUAUGAUGAUAAAAAUGGCUUAAGAGCUACUCCCUCCGUUCCAAAUUACUCGUCGCAGAAAUGGAUGUAUCUAGAACUAAAAUACAUCUAGAUACAUCCAUACCUACGACAAGUAAUUCGGAACGGAGGGAGUAACUAUUAACGCCACCGAAUUGGAAAGCAGAACCAUAAUCUUGAUGCUACAUACCACCGUGAUGCUGAUUUUUUUUCUCUGUCGGAAUUCAUUAUAAGGAAUAAAUCAUCUUCAUCUUAUGGUACAGGCUGAACUAAUCUGGCUCGCCUUCUUCACAGGCCAAUGGCUGCUCAGUGAGCAACUUGUUCUUAAAAGUAGGCAACUUUCUUCCUAUUAACCCAAUAUAAAAAACGAAGGACUGUGGCUUACCAUCUUGGGGGUUCGUCUGGCUGGAGCCUGACUGAAGGCACAGCAAGAGCAAGAACAGAAGUAGCACCCACUGCAUCAUCGCUCCGCCGUGCCGUUCCGGCCUCCACAGCAGAUCAAGGUAAUGUCAAACCAGAAACAAUCUCGAUGGUUGUUCUUGCGGGACAAGUCUACCCAAUUGGCAAGUUCAUGGAGGAGCUAUCAGGUACCAAACGGCGCGCCCUCCUUCCUGCGGUUAGUAACAAAGACAGGCAAAGCAAACAGCCAUUCAAACAAAACCAUCACAUAUAUAGCUUGCUUCAGAGGAUUUCUUAUCGGGCAUUGCCUGUCGGACUGCUUACCAGGUCCAAGGAACAGAUAUGCAGGUAGUAAAACGCAUGCACAAAAGGUUGUUGGUGGCCUUAUAAGACUUAUAAACGAGUCGUAGCAAGAGCUCUCGGUUGAACUGAUCAAAAGAUGAGAUGGAUGAAGCAAACGUUUGUGUAUUGCAUUUGAGUAGUGGGGGCAGGUGCUUCUUGCCUAUCCGUGUGCGGCCUUAUCUGUGCGGCACCUUAUGUUAUGCAUUGCUCUUGCUCGGCAUUGGCCCAGUCGUUAACUGUGCAGGUAGCUGGGUAUCACUCUUGGCUUGGGUAGCUGGGUACUGCUGGGUUUUGUACGUUUUUCCGUCCAUAUCGUUGUGUUUUUAGUUAACAUGUCGAUAAAUUUUGUGAUUAGAAAACACGUAGAUACGGCAAUAAGUUGGAUUAUGCGUGCUUGGCCACAUGUCAGACACUGGAUGUGCUGCUCGGCUGUUGUACUUAACAAUUCCGUUUCUCCUUGUGCAGGUGAAUCUCAGGUUGGGUCUCAAGCUGCCUGCCACUGCUGAUGUUGAUACGGCAUCAGGGCAUGUUUUGAUGAAUUAUGCCAACGACUGCGCCCAUGGUUGCUCUCUGCAGGGCACUGCGGUCUUCAUGGGACCUUGGAUGGUCUGGCGUGACAUGUACCAUGAAGUAUGCGGUGCCCUACCACGAGCCAAACUAAUGGGAAAAAAUGGGCCAGGACGGCGAAGCUUUGGAUCUACACGGCCAGCAUCUUUACCUUGUCGUCGUUGCUGAGAGCCGACGCGUGAUGUCGAGGCAGGAAACUCCAUGGGAUGUAUUGGAGAACAGAGACGAGGUUGCGCGCGGAAAGAUCCCUGCGCGUGUGGCCAAACCGGACGGCCGGCAGGCCAAUGAUUGAUUGAUUGAUUUCUCCAGGUAAACGCUCCGCCUUUUUUCCUAAACUAGAAAAAAAAUACACAGUUAAGCGGGCGACUGCAGUUCGUUUGGAUGAUGCGAGGCAAGGGCCAAGAGGGCUCGAACCUGAAGCCACUUGGUGGCGUGCAUGGUGCCAAUACGUACGGCAGCGCACACGUAUCGUGGCCUGCAUCGUAACCCCGUUAAGCUGAAUGGAGUGAGUCCACCUUUGGCCCAGCGCGCACACGCUUUGUAAUCUUGUCAAUCGGUACCAAGUAUGAUGUAUGAAAUGUUCUCGGGCGCGAAGGUAUCAAAGCAUAAAAACGGGUGCCGUUUACUUC